GCUUGUUUCAAAGAUUAAGCCAUGCAUGUCUAAGUAUAAGCGAACUUAUACAGUGAAACUGCGGAUGACUCAUUAAAACAGUUUGAAUUUAUUUGAUGAAUGUAUGAGAAUACUACUUGGAUAACCGUAGUAAUUCUAGAGCUAAUACAUGCAACGACGCCCGACCGUUUCACUACGGAAGGGCUGUAUUUAUUGGAUACCAAAACCAUCCUUCCCUCGGGAAGUUUUGUUUGAUGAUUCACAAUAACUGAUCGGAUCGCCACUGUGGUGGCGACAGGUCAUUCAACAUUCUGCCCUAUCAGCUUUCGAUGGUUGUGUAGUGGACAACCAUGGCCAUAACGGGUAACGGAGAAUCAGGGUUCGAUUCCGGAGAAGGAGCUUGAGAAUUGGCUACUACAUCUAAGGAAGGCAGCAGGCGCGCAAAUUACCCAAUCCCGAUUCGGGGAGGUAGUGACAAAAAAUAACAAUACCGGGCCUUUUUGGGCUUGGUAAUUGGAAUGAGGGAGAGUUAAACGGACCAUCGAGUAUCCAUUGGAGGGCAAGUCUGGUGCCAGCAGCUGCGGUAAUACCAGCUCCAAUAGCGUAUAUUAAAGUUGUUGCAGUUAAAAAGCUCGUAGUUGGACUUGUGUGCGCUGUCCGCGGGUGGCCUGCGCCCAAAAGGGCGUUUCGGUUCGGCCCCGGUGGCGCCUUGAAAUCUGCAGCUGGGGGGACGUUGGCCUUAACUGGUCGGCGACCGCACGCCGGCUGCUCGGUUACUGUGAGAAAAUUAGAGUGUUCAAGGCAGGCAUUGGGUGCAAUUGAAUACAUUAGCAUGGAAUAAUAAAAUAUGGCUCCUGCCGUAUUUUGUUGGUUUUGACUGGUGGGAGUAAUGAUUGAUAGGGACGGUUGGGGGUGCUAGUAUUGAGCGGCCAGAGGUGAGAUUCAUGGAUUCGCUCAAGACUAACUUAUGCGAAAGCAUUCACCAAGGACGUCCUCUUUAAUCAAGAACGAAAGUUGGGGGAUCGAAGACGAUCAGAUACCGUCGUAGUCUCAACCAUAAACUAUGUCGACUUGGGAUCGGCGGUAGUUUUUUCAUUAAGACACUGUCGGGACCACGGGAGAAAUCAAAGUGUCUGGACUCUGGGGGAAGUAUGGUCGCAAGGCUGAAACUUGAAGGAAUUGACGGAAGGGCACCACCAGGAGUGGAGCCUGCGGCUUAAUUUGACCCAACACGGGGAAACUUACCAGGUCCAGAGAUGUAGAGGAUUGACAGAUUGAAGCUCUUUCCUGAUCACUUCGGUGGUGGUGCAUGGCCG
rnacentral:rRNA from 1 species